UCAAUGAAGAAGAGAGAGGCACACAAACAGAGAGAGAGAGAGAGAGAGAGAGAGCAUUCUCCGAUCAGAGCUCUUCUUCUCGGAGGAACGAUUUGGGAGAAAAAUAAGAUACGAAUUUAGAGGGUGAAGUAGGGGAUUUGGGGGAUUCAAUCUCACAACAGAGAAGAAACUGUAAGAGCUGUAUAAAAUUCAGAUUCGUAUUUUCUUUUCCUCUCUCGAGGAAAGAGAUGUACAUGGGUUUGUGCUCAACAAUGAAAUCGGAGUUCCUCAAAGUUGAACUGCGUUAGAACGGAGUUUCCACGAUCUCUGCUUCUUCUUCUUUUCUUCUUCAGGGGCGAAACUGAAAGGAGAUUAAAGAGAAAAAUUUAAAGGAACCCCCCAAUCUGUGGAUAACAAAAGGUGGAAGAGGAGGAGCUCACGAUCCAAUACUUUGUGUAGAUCGCUACUUCUGCGAUCUCCCUGUUGCGUUCGGCGUUAAUUGGUCUCGUGAAGAGAUCGCAUUUACGCUGUGUUUUCUCGAUUGCUUUGGGUCUCUAAGAAGAGAAGGAGAGCAAAUCAAGGAAUUAGAUCUUUCCCUCGCUUCCCCUUGAUCCGAGAGAAACCUCUUCCUUCACGCAGUUUUGAUAUGAAGAGAUUAUACUUACUUUAUUUUAUUCCUCCUCUCAUCCUCUCCCUCUCUCUUUUUUUGUUUUUGUUUUUAUUUUUGUUUUAUUUUGUAUUUUUUAUUCUAUUGUGCUCUCUUUCUCUCUGGUUGUUUUCUCCACCCGUCUUCUUUUGCUUUCCUCUUUUUCAAAGUACCCUUUUUUUUUAAUUAGCGUGGCUAUUAAUUCCUUGAAUUAUUCUAGUUCACAAGAUGAAAAUUUUGCCUUUACUCUUGUGUAAUUCUCCCCGAUUGCCACGUGUCACCUCCUGUUAUUUU